GACGAACGCUGGCGGCGUGCUUAACACAUGCAAGUCGAACGGAAAGGCCCUGCUUUUGUGAGGUGCUCGAGUGGCGAACGGGUGAGUAACACGUGAGUAACCUGCCCUUGACUUUGGGAUAACUUCAGGAAACUGGGGCUAAUACCGGAUAGGAGCUCCUGCUGCAUGGUGGGGGUUGGAAAGUUUCGGCGGUUGGGGAUGGACUCGCGGCUUAUCAGCUUGUUGGUGGGGUAGUGGCUUACCAAGGCUUUGACGGGUAGCCGGCCUGAGAGGGUGACCGGCCACAUUGGGACUGAGAUACGGCCCAGACUCCUACGGGAGGCAGCAGUGGGGAAUAUUGCACAAUGGGCGGAAGCCUGAUGCAGCAACGCCGCGUGCGGGAUGACGGCCUUCGGGUUGUAAACCGCUUUCGCCUGUGACGAAGCGUGAGUGACGGUAAUGGGUAAAGAAGCACCGGCUAACUACGU
rnacentral:rRNA from 1 species